CCCUUAGAUGUCCGGGGCUGCACGCGCGCUACACUGAAUGAAUCAGCGUGCUAGAAAACCUUGUUUGACAUGGCUAGGUAACCCAUUGAAAAUCAUUCGUGAUUGGGAUCGGGACUUGCAAAUGUGUCCCUUGAACGAGGAAUUCCCAGUAAGUGCGGGUCAUCAGCUCGCGUUGACUACGUCCCUGCCCUUUGUACACACCGCCCGUCGCUCCUACCGAUUGAAUGGUCCGGUGAAGUGUUCGGAUCGCGCCGACGUGGGCGGUUCGCCGCCGGCGACGUCGCGAGAAGUCCACUGAACCUUAUCAUUUAGAGGAAGGAGAAGUCGUAACA
rnacentral:rRNA from 1 species